ACUGUAUUCCUUAAGCAUGACUUUCCCUUUUGAAGUACUUGUUUGUGGAACAGACAUAAUGAGUGUGGAUCGGACCCAGCCUCUUCUCCUGCAAUAUCUAUAAGAGAGGAAACUAGACUAUAUUGUAAAAUGGACCUGGAAAAGCUUGAAAAUGUGAAGAGGAUUGAACUGGCUGGCAUCUGUGCAUCUUCAUCUAUGAAAACACUCCUCAUAGACUUAAAACAAAUGACAGAGAACAAAUUAGUCAGCUUCUUCUAAAAUACAGUGGCCUCCCCUUAUCCUCAGUUUCACUUUCUGCAGUCAACUGCAGUCCGAAAAUGCUACAUACAAUUAGAUAUUCGGAGAGAGAGACACCACAUUUACAUAAAUGUUAUUUCAGUAUAUUGUUAUAAUUGUUCUAUUUUUAUCAUUAGUUGUUGUUACUGUGCCUAACUUAUACAUUAAACUUUAUCACAGGUAUGUAUGUAUAGGAAAAAACAUAGAUUAUAUAGGAUUGGUACUAUCCAUAGUUUCAGGCAUCCACUGGGGGUCUUGGAAUGUAUCCCCCUCAGAUAAGGAGGGACUACCGUAAACAGAAAAUAACAACAAUUCAAAUUGUUAAAAACUGAAUUCUUGAAAGUUAUCCUUUACAAUAGAUUAAUAUAUAUGAUCUGAGCUGAAAGAAUGGCAAGCAAUGGAGACGACAUUUCUCUUCUGUUUCUAGUAGAUAUUUUCAAUUUUAAGCAUAGUUUUAAAAAAAAUACAACCCUCUUUUAAGGGCUUAAACCAAGGUGGCUGUGCUGAUUGGCUUAGCUGGCUAGUUCACAGUGCCACGGACAAGGUUUCAAUCUCAUUCUUCUCAGUUGUCCUGACAGAGAUUGUUCUUUCAGACCAGGCCAGCCAUUUGACAGAUGUAAGCCACUGGCCUCAAGGAACACAAGCCAGACAGUGGUGGUCAGUGCAAACCUUGAGCAUCAUUGGAAAAAUUAAGUAGGUGUCCUACUGCAUCAUUUCCAUAUACAGAAAACCAUAGAAAUACAUCCUAUUUUUUAAGAGUUGUUUUUCAGCUAUUAAUACCUAUGAGGUUUAAAAAUAUUUUCAGAGAAAAAAAAUUUAGCAACUAGAAUUUACAAUGCUACCAUUUACUAUCAUUAUUUGUUCUUCACUUCAUUUGCCACCUUACCAGAGAAUUCCUUGCCACUCUCCUCUCCUUAAUCUGCUUAUUUUUAUUCUUAGUACUUUCCACUAACUGAUGUUAUAUUAAAUAUUUAUUUGGUGUCUGCCUCUCCCAACUAGAAUGUGAGCUACCUGACAGAGCAAGGACAUAGCUUGGUAUGUGUUUCUGGUAUAUCUUUAGGGCCCAGAACAGGGCCUGGCACACCCACAACUGCUAAAUAAACUUUUGAUGAAUUCUGUCACAUAUUUAUUACAGGAGCUUAAUUCAUAAAUAUCUUUAACAGGACAUCAAAAACAGUAGAUCAUUUAUAAGCCAAGAAUAUACUGCUAACUAUUGAACCAGAAUGUAUUUGUUGUCUAUAGGCAGCAGCCUAUAUAGCAAAAGAACUCAAGACUUUUGACAUGGCCUUCCAUGUUUCAAGGGUGCAACAUCUUCACUAUUUAUUUCCAUGGGAUCAGUCAAUGUGAAUGACAAACAUUUAGACACUGAACGCAGGGCAGUGGGACUGGCUAUUCAACUCAUCUUCAGUAAUAAAAUCUAAAAUUAUCAAAA